rnacentral:lncRNA from 1 species
UGGACUCCUAACCUGCAGAAACUUAGAUGAUGUUUUAUUAUGCUGCAUAAUUAUGCAAAACUGUCUCUAAUCGGAGUAUUUUGAGAGCAUUUGUGUGACGUUGUGUUUAUAUCUUAUUUGUUCAGAGCAGUCAGUGAUGUUCUCGCUCGCUGACUGAAGUCUUAAUUACAUUUUAACCGAUAUUGAUCCGGUGCGCGCAGUCUGCUGUAGUAAACACGCCGCCCGCGGUGACGUCACGCCGGGCUCCCGGUAACGGAGCUGAUCCGCGCGCGCUCCGCGCUCAGCCGCAGGAAACAACGGCACAUGAGGCACGAGAGAAAGUACCGAGGCUCUACGCUUUUCUGCUCUCACUGGUCACCGAGUUUCAGUCUGUUUGUUUGCGGCGGAUUAACGAAGUCUUGGAUUUAGUGAGGAAGAAGAGCAGUUUGAGAGAUGAAGCUCGCGCUGGUGGUGUGAUGACGAGCGAGUGAUGAGCCGCUGUGAGGAAUGUCCGUCUGUCUGCUGCUGGUCCUCCUCACACUGACCGCAAACACUCAGGUGAAAACUACAAUAUUAGCUUUGAAUAGAUAUAAUAGCAUUUAGAGAAAGCAUUGUGUGUGUGUGUGUGUGUGUGUGUAUGUGUGUGUGUGUGUGUGUAGUAUGUGUGAUCAAUUACAUCAAUUCAGUGUCAACAUGAUUCCUAAGAAAUCAUUCUAUACACUGAUUUGCUGCUCAAGAAACAUUUCUGAUUAUCAUCAAUGUUGAAAACAGUUGUGCUGUGCAAUAUUUUUUGUGGAAGAAAGCAUCAUGAAAUGAAUUUCACCCUCUUAAAAGGAUCUAAUCUACUUUAACAUCAAAGAGGUUCUACAUCUUAUUUUUCUGCGCGAUUAAAACGGCACAAUUAGCGCGAGUCAGAUCAGAAGAAAGAGGACAUUCAUCUCAAAACGCUGCUCAGGUACUUUUGAGCCGUUUAUGAGGUGCACGACCCGCGUUUGAAGAAGGAUCUGAUAAAUGCAGAGCGUUCAACAUAUGAACGCCAAUUAAAAUCUUGGAGAUUCUUUUUUUAAAACCUCGUAUCAACAUCUCUGUGAUUUUUGGGGGGAGUUUUUAAUUCCAUUUUAUGGUGAGAAAAAUGUUUGUUAAUGAUUCAGUGUCUAUGUUGUUAAGGAAUAAUCAAUUAAAAACUUUUUACUGAAGAAAGACUACAAAACUACUAAAACUGCAGCUAAAAUAAAAACAGAAAAUAUAAAAAUAAAAACUGGAAACUAAUUGAAAUAAAUCUAGCUGAAGUACUAAAAUUAUCAAAUAUAAACAACACCAACAACAACAAAAAAUACAAUAAAGCAUACAGUUAUUAUUAUUAUUAAUAGUAUUAUUAUCUUUU